GAGUUUGAUCCUGGCUCAAAAUGAACGUUAAUGAUUAGCUUAACACAUGCAAAUUAAAUAAAUUUUUAGAUUAAAAAAUUAAUGGUGAACGGGUGAGUAAAGUAUAGAAAUUAACCUCAAAAAAUUGUUUAAUACAUGUAAAGAUUUUAUCGUUUUGAGAAAAGUCUAUAUAAGAUUAAGUUGUUGAUAUAGUAAAUGUUAUAUCAAGCUAAUGAUCUUUAGUUGGUUUGUGAAAACGAACAACCACAUUGGAAUUGAGAUACGGUCCAAACUUUUUAAAAGGCAGCAGUGGGGAAUUUUGGGCAAUGAGCGAAAGCUUGACCCAGCUAAGUCAUAUAUGUGAAGAAAACUUUUUGUUUUAAAACAUUAAAAUUUUUGAAAUUAUGAUUAAUAUUUAAAAAGUCCUGGCUAAUUUCGUGCCAGCAGCCGCGGUAAUACGAGAAGGGCAAACGUUAUUUGAAUUUAUUGGGCGUAAAGAAUAUGUAGGUGGAAACUUAUCUUUUAGUUAAAAUUUUAAAUUUUAUUUUUAAGAAAACUAAAAAAGUAAUUUUCUAGAGUUUAAGAAAAGAUUAUGGAACUUUAAAUGUAACAGUAAAAUGUUUUGAUAUUUAAAAGAACCUCAAAAGUGUAAACAAUAAUCUAGAAUAAAACUGACAUUGAGAUAUUAAAGCAUGGGGAGCAAAAGGGAUUAGAUACCCCUGUAGUCCAUGCCCUGAACGAUGAGUGUUAAUUUUUGAAUAUUCAGAAGUAAAGCUAACGCAUUAAACACUCCGCCUGGGAACUACGAUCGCAAGAUUAAAACUCAAAGGAAUUGACGGGAACCUGUACAAGCAGUGGAGCAUGUGGUUUAAAUCGAUAAUACGCGCGAAAUCUUACCAGUUUUUGAAUAUAAUAGAAUACAGGUGUUGCAUGGCUGUCGUCAGUCCGUGUUGUGAAACGUUUGGUUCAUUCCAAUAAACGGACAAAACUCUUAUAUAUUUUUGAAUAUAAACUGUUAAAGAUAUCUUAAAAGAAGGUGAGAACGACGUCAAGUCCUCAUGACCCUAAUAAACUGGGCUACUUUCAUGUGCUACAAUAAUUUGUACAAAAAGAAGCGAAAAUGUAAAUUUAAGCAAUGCUAAAAAGUAAAUUAAAUACGGAUUGUUUUCUGUAAUUCGAAAAUAUGAAGUUGGAAUUGCUAGUAAUCGUAAAUUAGAAUGUUACGGUGAAUAAGUUCUCGGGUUUUGUACACACCGCCCGUCACGCUAUGGAAAUUUAUUUUAUUCGAAAAUUAUACAUGAUUAAAUUAUGAUAUAAUUUAAAGUAAAAAAAGAACUAGAGUGAAGUCGUAACAAGGUAGCCGUAGGGGAAUCUGCGGCUG
rnacentral:rRNA from 1 species